rnacentral:lncRNA from 1 species
UUUUUUUGAAUGCCCUGCAGCAUAUGGAGUUCCCGGGCCAGGGAUCAGUCCAAGCCACAGUUGCAACCUAUGCUGCAUCUUCGGCAACACUGGAUCCUUAACUCACUGUGCCAGGCCGGGGAUUGAACCUUUGUCUCAGCGCUCCAGAGACACCUCUGAACCCAUCGUACCACGGCAGGAACUCCCAUAAAUGUGAUCUUAUACAGGUUUUAACGUGUUUUUACAUUUUUUCCUUUUAUUUAUUAAAUAAACAUUUCUGCAUCUCCCUUUUCUCACUCAUCAAUACCUGGAAGCCCCUGGCAGAUUUAAUUCACUGUUUUUAACAGCCACACACUUGCCCACCCACUGUGUCUUUCUACUUGGUCCUCCUGGCUCAAGGUCAUCUUCUAGAGUAACAUCUCCACCUCUACCUCCAACACAUUAGGGAAUCUCACCAGGCCAGGUGAGAGAAAAAGGCAGUGGGAAGGCAGCAAGUGGUGUUUCUAGCGCUGUCUUGUCCAUCCCCUUGCUGGUGGCCAGCAGCCCUCAGCCCCUAGAGGCGGGAAUGCUGACUAUGUUAUUGUGAAAUCAUUUGUAUAUUGUGAAGUGCUUUGCAUAUGAUGGAGUGAUUUGCAUAUAUGGGGGGCAUCUUAGAGAUCCCAGAGCAGCAUCCCUGAGUGUCCUCCUCCUCCUCCCUCUGCAAAGUAAUCAACCUAGGGUUUCCACUUCAGAAAUUAGGCGGGGGAAGAGGAGGGUGUCCCGGCAGAACUGUGGGCCGUGAGGGGGAAGCAGACAGGGGGCUUUCAGAGGAAAGCUGAUCCCUCUUGGUAGGAUUGGGGUCUAAGAAAGGCAGCGUUGGAGUGUGAGGUGGAACAGGGCAACUGGUGUAGCAUGUGACACUUGUGCCCUCAGAGCCCCCAGUAAGGGAAAGUGACACAGGAUGGAUGAAGGAAGUACCCUAGGAGGCAGAUGAGGGUCAGAGGCUUAGAGACUCCCACCCUGUCACAAUCUCUGUCCAAAUGAGUACCCAAGGGCCCGUUCCUGAGUAUAGGUGGUCCUGGCUGAUUCCCAGAGAAGGAUGCAAAGUGGAAAUGCCAAGCCAGAUUCCUAAGACUCUAGAAAUGAGAGCUGCUGUCACAUGCCCUGGGUUCAGGAAUAUUCAGGUUUCAAUUGUGGCUCUGUCAUCCGUGCUAUUGUGUGACCCUGGGCUAACUACCCCACCUCAAUGGGCUAGACUGAGGGUUCUUUAAGACAAUGCAAGCAGAGUAAAUGGCAGGUGUUCAGCAAUAAACUGCGGUUAUAAUAAUAAUGCUAUUGUUUGCUGCCUUAAUCUGAGGUGAGGGAAGCACAGAGCCCUUGCUCCCCCAGGUUUGGAGUUACCAGCAGCAGUGUCAAGCCACCGUGCAUUGGACUCCAAAGGGUUACAAGCCCUGGAGACAAAGGCCUGAGGUUCCC